rnacentral:rRNA from 1 species
CAAUAGCGUAUAUUAAAGUUGUUGCGGUUAAAAAGCUCGUAGUUGGAUUUCUGCUGAGAACGACCGGUCCGCCCUUUGGGUGUGUAUCUGGCUCUUUCUUGGCAUCUUCUUGGUGAACGUUGCUGCACUUGACUGUGUGGAGCGCUACCCAGGACUUUUACUUUGAGGAAAUUAGAGUGUUUCAAGCAGGCAUACGCCUUGAAUACAUUAGCAUGGAAUAAUAAGAUAGGACCUCGGUUCUAUUUUGUUGGUUUCUAGAGCUGAGGUAAUGAUUAAUAGGGAUAGUUGGGGGCACCUGUAUUGCGUUGUCAGAGGUGAAAUUCUUGGAUUUACGCAAGACAAACAGCUGCGAAAGCGUCUGCCAAGGAUGUUUNCAUUAA